CACGUAGGGCGCAAGCGUUUGUCCGGAAUUAUUGGGCGUAAAGAGCUCGUAGGCGGUCUGUUACGUCUGCUGUGAAAACCCUGGGCUUAACCCUGGGCUUGCAGUGGAUACGGGCAGACUAGAGGCAGGUAGGGGAGAAUGGAAUUCCCGGUGUAGCGGUGAAAUGCGCAGAUAUCGGGAGGAACACCGGUGGCGAAGGCGGUUCUCUGGGCCUGACCUGACGCUGAGGAGCGAAAGCGUGGGGAGCGAACAGG
rnacentral:rRNA from 1 species